rnacentral:piRNA from 1 species
UUGCCAUGACAAAAGAAUGAAAGCCUUCGA